UUCCGGUUGAUCCUGCCGGACCCUACCGCUAUCGGGGUGGGACUAAGACAUGCAAGUUGUACAACUCCUAGCUGUUGGAGGAGGAGUAGCGAACGGCUCAGUAACACGUAGCUAACCUGCCCUCAGGUCAAGUAUAACCUCGGGAAACUGUGGCUAAUACUUGAUAGAUGAGAAGGCUUGGAACAGUUUUUCAUUAUAAAGGUACUGGAACCAUGCUUUCAGUACUGCCUGAGGAUGGGGCUGCGGCCGAUCAGGUUGUUGGUGAGAUAAAGGCUCACCAAGCCUAUAACCGGUACAGGCCGCGAGAGCGGGAGCCUGGAGAUGGGAACUGAGACAAGGACCCAAGCCCUACGGGGUGCAGCAGUCGCGAAAACUCCGCAAUGCACGAAAGUGUGACGGGGCUACCCCGAGUGCUAUCCGCUGAGGAUAGCUUUUCUUUGGUGUAAUGAGCCGAAGGUAAUAAGGAGAGGGCAAGACUGGUGUCAGCCGCCGCGGUAAUACCAGCUUUCCGAGUGGUGGGGAUGAUUAUUGGGCCUAAAGCGUCCGUAGCUUGUUUAGCAAGUCUCCCGUUAAAUCCAACGAUUUAAUCGCUGGGCUGCGGAAGAUACUGUUAGGCUUGGGGGCGGGAGAAGCCGACGGUACUCCUAGGGUAGGGGUGAAAUCCUAUAAUCCUAGGAGGACCACCAGUGGCGAAUGCGGUCGGCUAGAACGCGCCCGACAGUGAGGGACGAUAGCUGGGGGAGCGAACCGGAUUAGAUACCCGGGUAGUCCCAGCUGUAAACGAUGCAGCUAGGUGUCGGAGUGACCACGAGUUACUCCGGUGCGCAGGAAGCUGAUAAGCCUGCGUCUGGGAGUACGGUCGCAGACUGAACUAAGGAUGCGGGGGAGCACUACAGGGUGAGCUGCGGU
rnacentral:rRNA from 1 species